UGAGGAAUAUUGGUCAAUGGACGAGAGUCUGAGCCAGCCAAGUAGCGUGAAGGAUGACUGCCCUAUGGGUUGUAAACUUCUUUUAUACGGGAAUAAAGUGAGCCACGUGUGGCUUUUUGUAUGUACCGUAUGAAUAAGGAUCGGCUAACUCCGUGCCAGCAGCCGCGGUAAUACGGAGGAUCCGAGCGUUAUCCGGAUUUAUUGGGUUUAAAGGGAGCGUAGGCGGGUUGUUAAGUCAGUUGUGAAAGUUUGCGGCUCAACCGUAAAAUUGCAGUUGAUACUGGCGACCUUGAGUGCAACAGAGGUAGGCGGAAUUCGUGGUGUAGCGGUGAAAUGCUUAGAUAUCACGAAGAACUCCGAUUGCGAAGGCAGCUUACUGGAUUGUAACUGACGCUGAUGCUCGAAAGUGUGGGUAUCAAACA
rnacentral:rRNA from 1 species